GCGCACCAGGCGCGAAUACUUUACAAUGUGCGAAAGCGUGACGGGGGAACGUCCAAGUGCCCCUCCAAAAGAAGGGGCGUUUUGUGAUAUGUAAAAAGUAAUCACGAAUAAGGACUGGUCAAGACUAGUGCCAGCCUCCGCGGUAAAACUAGCAGUUCGAGUGGUAGCCACGAUUAUUGGGCUUAAAGCGUUCGUAGCCGGUUUUGUAAGUUCUCUGUGAAAUCCUUGGGCCUAACCUAAGGGCUUGCAGAGAAUACUGCAAGGCUUGGAGUUGGGAGAAGUCAAGGGAACUACUGGGGUAGCGGUGAAAUGCUAUAAUCCUAGUAGGACCGCCAAUGGCGAAGGCACUUGACUAGAACAAGCUCGACGGUGAGGAACGAGAGCUAGGGGAGCAAACGGAUUAGAUACCCGCGUAGU
rnacentral:rRNA from 1 species